rnacentral:rRNA from 1 species
GUGGGGAAUAUUGGGCAAUGGGGGCAACCCUGACCCAGCGACGCCGAGUGGGUGAAGAAAUCCCUCGGGAUGUAAAGCCCUGUUGUAUGGGAAGAGCAGAAGACGGUACCAUACGAGGAAGACCCGGCAAACUACGUGCCAGCAGCCGCGGUAAUACGUAGGGGGAAAGCGUUGUCCGGAAUUACUGGGCGUAAAGCGCACGCAGGCUGAAUUAUAAGUCGGUAGUCAAAUAAGGAGGCUCAACUUCCGGAUAUCUAUCGAUACUGUAAAUCUAGAGUAUGUGAGAGGGAAGCGGAAUUCCCGGUGUAGCGGUGAAAUUCUUAGAUAUCGGGAGGAACACCAGUGGCGAAGGCGGCUUCCUGGCACAAUACUGACGCUCAUGUGCGAAAGCUAGGGCAGCGAACGGGAUUAGAAACCCUAGUAGUCC